AUGAAACGCGAGUUGCUGAAAAUUUGACAAGUCCAAGGAAGCCUGGUAAGCAAAACAAUAACAAUCGCGAAUCCGAACUUAUAUUUUAUAUCUUUUUAGCAAAUAAAUUGUUCCGCACGGAUAAAAUGGAAGUCGGAACCAUCCCAGCAUCUGCGCCGUCGCCGAAGAUUCAAGAAACGCCGCAAAAGUCAACGCAUUGGCGUGUUCCGGUACAGUUUCAGUGCCGGCAUCGACGGAGAAGAUCUUUGAUGUUCAUCAUGCGCUCAUCGUUGUCCGACCGACGCUUCCAAGGAGGUACUGGACAGUUGUGUGAACAAACUGAAUUUUUGAAACGAAUUCGCAAUAUGAAGCUCGUCUCGUCAUACAAGGAAAUACGGAUUCAAUUUGCUCUGCGCUGAAGUCCCUAUGUUCCUCUGGAGGGUCUCAAGCUGACGGCUUGGUAGCUCUGAAACCUGGAGUAUCCACUCCGUCCUGUUUUGCGUCCUGUCCGCCCAAGGGUUUCGGAUUACCUCGUACACCCACAUUCGAACAAUACAUUCGAAUCCAGACCCCAUUGCAGAGCAGUAAUGCGGGAUCAAUCCAUCGAUCUAAUGCAACGGAUAAUUUCAUCGAUGCAGAUUGUAAAAGUGAAACCAUCCUGGGCAAUGAAGAACAACGAAUCGUAAUAAUUUAAGAAGAAUGUUUCUCCUAGAAGAUAGAUUCAGAUAGUACAUAACAUUCGAGAUAUGUACAAGCAUAUCCGGUAGUAUCUGUUGCAAAGAGUGUGCUACGAGUCGUUGGUUAAUCGUUGAUUAGGAUUUUACUUCAUUUUAUUUAGGAGUUCAGUCCAGAUCGUGAUCUAGGGACAGACAUGAUUCUAGGGACAAACAGAUUUUC